rnacentral:rRNA from 1 species
GACGAACGCUGGCGGCGUGCUUAACACAUGCCAGUCGAACGGAAAGGCCCUUCGGGGUACUCGAGUGGCGAACGGGUGAGUAACACGUGGGUGAUCUGCCCUGCACUUUGGGAUAAGCCUGGGAAACUGGGUCUAAUACCGAAUAGGACCACGCGCUUCAUGGUGUGUGGUGGAAAGCUUUUGCGGUGUGGGAUGGGCCCGCGGCCUAUCAGCUUGUUGGUGGGGUAAUGGCCUACCAAGGCGACGACGGGUAGCCGGCCUGAGAGGGUGACCGGCCACACUGGGACUGAGAUACGGCCCAGACUCCUACGGGAGGCAGCAGUGGGGAAUAUUGCACAAUGGGCGCAAGCCUGAUGCAGCGACGCCGCGUGAGGGAUGACGGCCUUCGGGUUGUAAACCUCUUUCAAUAGGGACGAAGCGCAAGUGACGGUACCUAUAGAAGAAGCACCGGCCAACUACGCG